UUAUACUCAUUAACUACUCUGAGGAUGACUGCUAAAGUGACUGUCUUUUAGAACACCUACCCUGAAGAAAACGAAUGUAUCCAGAAUAAAUCAUAUGUAGGAGGACAUCGGGAAAAGAGGGGGGUAGGAACAAGAACCGAAUCAAAUAAUAUAGUUAGAAAUAAAAAAAAGUCUACACUUCAUCAACGUUAUCAUCCCAAUCAUUAUCACGCAUGCUUCUGGGAGCGUAGUCUUGCAAUCCUGCUACGUAGUUUGCACCACAGUAGGCGAUACCUGCAAGAAGAACUAAAAAGCCUAGGAAAGAAGUAAACCCGGAGUAAGAAAAGAGUAAAGUACCCAUGAAAGCGUAGAAGAAGCCCCUUCCUAAGAAUGAGAACAUGAACGAUCCAUAUUUAAUAGCAAUAGGAGGAAUUUCCUUUUCUAAACCAAUAGUUCCCAAACCGAAAACGAUGAUGAACAAUGCAAGUAAAGCGUUUACGAAGCUAAAUGAAAAUAACUUGAUAAAUCCGCUUAAAACGAAGAUACCACCUACGCCCAAAUUAAUGGCACUAAACAUUUUUGUUUUAUCCAUUGUGAAUUAAGUGUAUGCAACCAAUAUUAAAUUUUUCAAGCAAUAUGUAUUUUAGUCGAUGUUUGCUUAAAGACAAAGAGAAAUGCAAGUUACUAAGCCUGCCUAUGCUUACCGAUGCGGUCAUGCAUAUUUACGAACUAUUGAAAUACGGUAAAUAAAAAUAACGAAUUCCAUAAUUCUCAACCAACUUUUUGUUGUUUACAGAAAAUGAAUAAUUCAAUUCAUCGAAAAUGCAUUUUGUUUUCUAUAGCAUUCUUUGUACUGUUUUUGAAGUUAAAAACACUAUCAUUUAGUAAAUAAU